UUCUCUGCGCGAAUAGGAGAUAACGGACAGACGCUCGGCAAACUGCGGGCUCGCGCAGGGAAGUGACACCUCUCACACCGAAUGCUCCUCUGUCACGGAUAAAGUAAUGAGGUAGACAACGGAAUCUCUGUUUAACACGGCCUUUGUGUGGAAUAGACGGACACUGGCGCGGGAAACAUGGACCAGGAGUUUGAGGACAUAGAUUCAGAGGGCCGGUGGCAGAAACUCUACUCGGAAAUUAGGAAUCAGUCCUAUGAGUGCCCCUACAAAGUGGCCAAGUAUCCCGAGAAUCGCAACCGAAACAGAUACAGAGAUGUCAGUCCCUUCGAUCACAGCCGGGUGAAGCUGGAGAACACAGAAAAUGACUACAUCAAUGCAAGCCUGGUCGUGAUGGAGGAAGCCCAGAGGAGUUACAUCCUAACUCAGGGACCCCUCAGGAACACCUGUGGUCACUUUUGGCUCAUGAUCUGGGAACAGAAAACCAAAGCAGUGAUCAUGCUCAACCGAGUGAUAGAGAAAGGCUCAGAAAAGUGUGCCCAGUACUGGCCCACGGCCGAGGAGAGGGAGAUGGCUUUCAGAGACACUCGUUUCAUAGUCACGCUGUUGUCAGAAGACACCAAGUCGUACUACACCACCAGAGUGCUGGAGCUGCAGAAUAUCAACACAGGAGAAAAGCGAGAGCUCCACCACUUCCAUUACACCACGUGGCCUGACUUUGGCGUCCCAGAAUCCCCGGCAUCCUUCCUAAAUUUCCUCUUCAAGGUGCGGGAGUCGGGAGCGCUGGGAGUGGACCACGGCCCGGCGGUGGUGCACUGCAGCGCCGGAAUCGGGCGCUCAGGAACAUUUUCAUUAGUCGACACGUGUCUGGUCCUGAUUGAUAAAAAGAAAGACGCCUCGUUAGUGGACAUCAAAAGCAUCCUGUUGAACAUGAGGAAGUACCGCAUGGGCCUGAUCCAGACUCCCGAUCAGCUGCGCUUUUCCUACAUGGCUGUAAUCGAAGGAGCAAAAUACAUCAUGGGAGACUCGUCAGUGCAGAACCGGUGGCGGGAGCUGUCCAGGGAGGAUCAGGAGCCGUUAUCGGAGUCUCCCCCUUCAGCUCAGCCCCAGGCCCGGUGUCCCGCAGAGCGCUACAACGGCAGCCAGCGCGCAGCUCAGCAGCAGCAGCAGCAGCAGCAGCAGCAGCAGGAAGAGGCGGCAGGCGACUACAGACAGGACUGCAAGAUCCCUGCUCAGUCUCCACGCAAGGAACAGGAGCAGGACGGCAACACAACUCACAAGCGACACAGAGAAGACAGUAUCUCCAAGACAGCCCAAAGCAAAUCCAGGACUAAUGACUCAGAGAAGAAAAGAAAGAGUUUGGGCUGCAUUUGCUGCACAUGACACGGGCUGACCUGUCCGGGCGGGGGCACUGUAUCAGUCCCCCCUCCCAGGCAGCAACUACAACCAGCAACUGCACAUUUAGAGGAGGAGCUUUACCCACAGCUGUUAGAAGCGCCCACUCUUGUACAUGCAGGGCCAAGACCAGCGACUGCUAACCACCUCCGCCUGCGGCCACGGGACUGCAGCUCAGGCAGCGAAGCCAACACCGGCAGGGAAUUCCAGCUCUCUCCCAACGUCUUUGUCCCCCUUCCCUCGACUCCAAACCACUCUUCCUCACUUCCACCUCAGCAGCUGGCUCUCCUCUCAUAUCCGCUUUUGUUUUUGUUGAAGUGGCCCCAGCCAAGUAGCAUUUUUCACUCCUCCGGUUCCCCUCUCCCCUCCACCAGUUUUUCUUUCUUUUUUUUUCCUCUCUCUCUCUCUCUCUCUCCCCUCAUCCUCUCUUGACUGUUUACAGAAGACACUUUGACAUUCUUUGAAGACAAAGACACCAGCGCUUUACUCCCAGUCUGCACCUCAUCCUCUGUCAGCGCUGCUUCCACAGCCACAAAACCAGGUGUCCUGUGUUGAUAUUAUUAUUAUUAUUAUUUGCAGCAUUUUCAGUCUUUUAUUCUUCUCUACAUUCAUAAAAUCAAUACAUGAAAACAGGGGCUAUGCAUUGCCAAUUUCUAAUGCUGUUCAUAUGUGUAUUUUUGGAGGAAAAAAAAAAACAUUUUUUCAGAGGCAAAAAUAAAUGUUUUAUUUUUUAUAAGAGAUUACUUGAAGUUUUUCAGGUGACGUGGGGCUGGGUCAAUGAAAAGCACUGCCUCCUCCCACAUGAGAAAUUUAGUGGCGUGUAAUGUUUCCAUGAUGUACAUAAUGUUCUUUUUUAAAAAAGAUGUGUAUAAGAAAGACAUAUUUUUGCUUGUAUAAAACAAAACCCCAUAAAAGACGAAAGCUAAUGUUACAGAUCUGGAUCCAGUGAAAAGCUGAUUUGAUGACUUGUUCUUCUGUUGAAAUGAAUGGUCUUAAGUUUCUUUCUUUAGAGUGUACUCUACAAAUAAAACUGGUACGUCCAGUUUAUAUA